AUGGACUUUGGGCUGAGCUGGGUUGUCCUUGUGGCCAUUUUACAAGGUGUCCAGUGUGAGGUGCAGCUGGUGGAGUCUGGGGGAGGCUUGGUGCAGCCAGGGAGGUCUCUGCGACUCUCCUGUGCAGCCUCUGGAUUUACUUUUGAUGAUUAUGCCAUGAGCUGGGUCCGCCAGGCUCCAGGGAAAGGACUGCAGUGGGUGUCACUUAUUAAUUGGAGUGGUGGUUACACAUACUAUGCAGACUCUGUGAAGGGCCGAUUCACCAUCUCCAGAGACAACUCCAAGAACACGCUGUAUCUGCAAAUGAACAGCCUGAGAUCUGAGGACACGGCCGUGUAUUACUGUGCAAAAGAUACACAAGUCCUCUUCCUGGUCACUCCACGCGAGCUGUUCUUUGAUUACUACGGUAUAGACGCCUGGGGCCAAGGGAUCUUCGUCACCGUCUCCUCAGGGAGCCAGUCUCCCCCGACUCUCUUCCCCCUGGUCUCCUGCGUGAGCCCCCUGUCUGAUGAGAGCCCGGUGGCCCUGGGCUGCCUGGCCCGGGACUUCUUGCCCAGCUCCAUCAGCUUCUCCUGGAGCUACAGUAACAGCAGCGGGGUCAGCAGCCAGAACAUCCAGAGCUUCCCGGCCGUCCUGAGGGAGGGCAAGUACACGGCCUCCUCCCAGGUGCUCCUGCCCUCCGCAAGCAUCCCCCAGGGGACGGAAGAGCACCUGCUCUGCAGAGCCAAGUACCCCAACGGCGACAAGUCCGUGCCAGUGCCUUUCCCAGUGACGUUACAAUCCCAGCCUCCCAACGUGGGCAUCUUCAUGCCCCCCCGAGAUGCCUUCUCCGGCACUCCCCAGCGCACGUCCAGGCUCAUCUGCCAGGCCACAGACUUCAGACCCAAGCAGAUCUCCUUCUCCUGGUUUCAUGAGGGAAAGCGGGUGGUGUCUGGCAUCAGCGAAGGCCCGGUGGAGACUGUACAGUCCUCGCCCGUGACCUUCAGGGCCUACAGCAUGCUGACCAUCACAGAGAGCGAGUGGCUCAACCAGAGCGUGUUCACCUGUGAGGUGGAGCAUGACCAUCAGAUCUUCCAGAAGAACGUGUCCUCUGCGUGCAGCGUCCCGCCCUCCUUCAUCCGGAUCUUCACCAUCCCCCCGUCCUUCGCUGGCAUCUUCCUCACCAAGUCAGCCACGCUUUCCUGCCUGGUCACAGACCUGACCACCUAUGAGAGCCUGAACAUCUCCUGGACCCGCGAGGAUGGCGAGGUCCUGCAGACCCACACCAGCAUCUCCGAGAUCCACGCCAACGGCACCUUCAGCGCCAUGGGUGAGGCCUCUGUCUGUGUCGAGGACUGGGAGUCCGGACAAGGGUUCACGUGCACGGUGACCCACACGGACCUGCCCUCGCCGGUGAAGCUCAGCAUCUCCAGGCCCACAGAGGUCGCCAAGCAUAUGCCGUCUGUGUACGUGCUGCCACCAACGCGGGAACAGCUGAGCCUGCGGGAGUCCGCCUCCGUCACCUGCCUGGUGAAGGGCUUCUCGCCCCCGGACGUGUUCGUGCAGUGGCUGCAGAAGGGGCAGCCCAUGUCCUCCGACAAGUACGUGACCAGCGCCCCGGCGCCCGAGCCCCAGGGCCCCGGCUUGUACUUCGUGUACAGCAUCCUGACGGUGAGCGAGGAGGACUGGAACAGCGGAGAGACCUACACCUGCGUCGUGGGCCACGAGGCCCUGCCCCACAUGGUGACCGAGAGGACCGUGGACAAGUCCACCGGUAAACCCACCCUGUACAACGUGUCACUGGUCAUGUCUGACACGGCCAGCACCUGCUACUGA